rnacentral:rRNA from 1 species
ACGAACGCUGGCGGCGUGCUUAACACAUGCCAGUCGAGCGGAAAGGCCCUUCGGGGUACUCGAGCGGCGAACGGGUGAGUAACACGUGAGUAACCUGCCCCAGACUUUGGGAUAACCCUCGGAAACGGGGGCUAAUACCGGAUACGACACAGCUUCGCAUGGGGUCUGUGUGGAAAGUUUUUCGGUUUGGGAUGGGCUCGCGGCCUAUCAGCUUGUUGGUGGGGUGAUGGCCUUCCAAGGCGACGACGGGUAGCCGGCCUGAGAGGGGGACCGGCCACACUGGGACUGAGACACGGCCCAGACUCCUACGGGAGGCAGCAGUGGGGAAUAUUGCACAAUGGGCGGAAGCCUGAUGCAGCGACGCCGCGUGAGGGAUGACGGCCUUCGGGUUGUAAACCUCUUUCAGCAGGGACGAAGCGUAAGUGACGGUACCUGCAGAAGAAGCGCCGGCCAACUACGUG